rnacentral:rRNA from 1 species
GACGAACGCUGGCGGCGUGCUUAACACAUGCAAGUCGAACGGAAAGGCCCUGCUUUUGUGGGGUGCUCGAGUGGCGAACGUUUGAGUAACACGUGAGUAACCUGCCCUUUACUUUGGUAUAACUUCAGGAAACUGGGGCUAAUACCUGAUAGGAGCUCCUGCUGCAUGGUGGGUGUUGGAAAGUUUCGGCGGUUGGGGAUGGACUCACGGCUUAUCAGCUUUUUGGUGGGGUAGUGGCUUACCAAGGCUUUGACGGGUAGCAGGCCUGAGAGGGUGACAGGCAAAAUUGGGACUGAGAGACGGCACAGACUCCUACGGGAGGCAGAAGUGGGGAAUAUUGAAGAAUGGGAGGAAGCCUGAUGAAGCAAAGAAGCGGGCGGGAUGAAGGCCUUCGGGUUGUAAACAGAUUUCGCCUGUGACGAAGCGUGAGUGACGGUAAUGGGUAAAGAAGAACCGGCUAACUAAGUG